GACCUCGUAGCUCAGUUGGUAGAGCAUUUGACUUUUAAUCAGAGGGCCAUGGGUUCGAGUCCCAUCGGGGUCACCA
rnacentral:tRNA from 1 species